CUUGGUGAUUUCGAUUGUAUUUCCUUUUGUAUAAUGUUGGUUUAUCAAUUAAGCCAAAAUUUUCCAGGCCUGUAGGCCUACAGGUGUUUGGUUAUUUUCGCUUGUAGGCCUACAUUCUUACUAAAAAUUGCAAUGAGUGCUCAUAUACGAAAGAAAUAUAAGAAGAUGUCUAUGGUUGUAGCUACUUAUUAUAGUAGCAAAGUCAAUAUUUCAUGGGAGAAGUUGCAGAGUAUAAAUUCAGACAUGACGACACAAACCUAGGCUUAAGGAGGGUCAUAAGGUAGUGAAGACUCGAGCUUAAGAGAGUAAUCUUUAUUUUUGUUUUCUUUUUGUAUAGAAUUGGUAUAUAAGCUCUUGUGAAAUAUUGGUGGAUAGAGGGUGUGUUCGGUUAGACCAUAUGAUCGACAGGUAUAGAUAAGGAGGAGCAUUUAUAGAGGUUUGUCCAGACUUUUGAAAAGUCAACAUGAGGAUAGGAGUAGUGUGAUGGUUUUCCAACAGAAAGGAUUUCAGUUUUAUCAUGGUUUAGUUUGGAGCCAGAUAUAGAGCCAAAUGUUUUGAAUUGUUCGAGGAGGGUGCUGUAUGAAGAAAGUCUAGAUAUUAUAGCAGAACAGUCAUCUGCAUGCUGAAAUAACUUAAUCUCUGAAGGGUGGUUAGGGAUCCUGAUGCCUUUUAUGAGGAUGUUUUUGUUUAUGUAUGAAGCAAGGGGGUUGAUACACAAUGAGUAUAGAAUCAUGGAUAGUGGACAUCCUUGACGAAUCGAUCGGUUAAUUUUAAUAUUUUGGGAAAAGGAUCCAUUUACUUGGACUUUACUAAUCAAGUUUUUAAACAAUAUUGUAAUCCAGUUAAGGAUGUAAUUUGGGAAAUUAAUAUGUUUAAGUAGAUUUAUGAUAUAGUUGUGUUCAAUGCGAUCGAAGGUUUUUCUUGGUCAAAUGAUAAUAUAUAGGCACUGGACUCAUUUGUGUUUAUAUAAUUUAGUAUUGUAUCUAUUGAAUAUAGGUUAUCAAAAAUGCUUUUAUUUGGUCCAGCUCCUGUUUGUGUAUUAGAGAUUAAUUUGUUAAUAACAGAAUUUAUUCUUGUGCUUAGAAUUUUUGUUAUGAUUUUAUAGUCCACACAUAACAGGCUUAUCGGUCUAUAGUUCUUGAGUAAUCGAUGGUCGCCUUCAUUCUUGUAGUUAAUUGUUAUGAUACCAGUUCUCAUUGUGUUAGAUAAUUCCCCCUGUAGAUAGAUGUUGUUUAAUACUUCUGUUAAAUCGUUUCCUAUAAUGUCAAAGAAUUUUAUGUAGAAAUCUCCUGGAAUACCAUCUAUACCCGGGCUACGGUUUGUUCUAAAUUUUUGUAACGCCUUAAGGACUUCAUCUCUAGAUAUAAAAUGUGAUAUUGAAUCUC